rnacentral:ncRNA from 1 species
AUCUUCAGGGCAGGGUGCAAUUCCCUACCGGUGGUAAAGCCCACGAGCCAUAAGGCAUGAUUCGGUGAGAUUCCGAAGCCGACAGUACAGUCUGGAUGAAAGAAGAUA